rnacentral:rRNA from 1 species
AGAAUCAACGCUGGCGGCGUGCCUCAGACAUGCAAGUCGAACGCGAAAGUCCCCUUCGGGGGGCAAGUAGAGUGGCGCACGGGUGAGUAACACGUAGGUAAUCUACCUUUGGAUGGGGAAUAACAAUCGGAAACGAUUGCUAAUACCGCAUAAUGCAGCGGCACCUAAUGGUGACAGUUGUUAAAGCGGGGGAUCGAAAGACCUCGCGUCUGAAGAGGAGCCUGCGGCGGAUUAGCUAGUUGGUAAGGUAAUGGCUUACCAAAGGCGAACGAUCC